rnacentral:lncRNA from 10 species
CUCCAGUGCCCCUUCAGACAAUUGGUGAAGGGCCAUUAAACAGAAAAAAAAAAAAGUUGGUGAGGAAGAAAAAGGCUCAAUUAAAAAGCUCCAAAUAUGACCCUGCUCUACUACUGUGAACUGAGUACUAUGUGCUUGGAUGUGUUAAGGACGGAGGCCAUUGCCAUGUGAAGAAGAACCUACCUUCCGUCUUCCCACCCUGACCCACUGAGAAACCUCAAGCUUUGGACUUGUCCAUGCUGCCCUCUAACCCUAGAUCACAGUUCUGAGUGUGAAUACUGCCAGCCCAGAAGAGAACAUUCAUGCUGGAUGAAGGGCCCCAUUGUCUAGGGAGGAAGAAGAGGAUACCACCUGGGCAGAGUGCUUCUGUAGCAACCGGACAGCCAAAGGUCACCCUGGCCAUCUUCAGCGCACCCUCCCAGCACUCCCAUGGGCCCUGCCUGAGCUGUACCCCUUCCCCUCCUCCUGCCCCCUUGUACGUCCUGUGUCCUGCCUCAAACCCGAGCCAAGUCUAUUCUCUAGGGGCCAACUUCGGCUCCAGCUAAGAAAGAGUUAAAACAAAGCCAUCCAGAGCUGGCACAGU